AUUGAACGCUGGCGGCAUGCCUUACACAUGCAAGUCGAACGGUAACGGGCCUUCGGGUGCCGACGAGUGGCGAACGGGUGAGUAAUGUAUCAGAAUGUACCUUUCAGUGGGGGAUAACGUAGCGAAAGUUACGCUAAUACCGCAUAUUCUGUGCGCAGGAAAGCAGGGGAUCGCAAGACCUUGCGCUGAUUGAGCGGCCGAUAUCAGAUUAGCUAGUUGGUGAGGUAAAGGCUCACCAAGGCGACGAUCUGUAGCGGGUCUGAGAGGAUGAUCCGCCACACUGGAACUGAGACACGGUCCAGACUCCUACGGGAGGCAGCAGUGGGGAAUUUUGGACAAUGGGGGCAACCCUGAUCCAGCCAUGCCGCGUGAGUGAAGAAGGCCUUCGGGUUGUAAAGCUCUUUCGGCCGGGAAGAAAUCGUAUCAGCUAAUACCUGGUGCGGAUGACGGUACCGGCAUAAGAAGCACCGGCUAGCUACGUGCCAGCAGCCGCCGUAAUAC
rnacentral:rRNA from 1 species